UAAACGUAAGCACACACACAAAUAAAAAGCCGAAGUGCUUUUACGUGUGGCCCAGCCAAAGUUGCAAUGCCCCUCACUCCUCAGCCCAACAAAUAAAAAUCCCCCAUACCCAAAACUCCUGGUGCGUACGUACGUGGGAAAAGAAAAAAAAGAAAAAAGAAUCAGUAGUAUAAAACGGAACUAAAACAAACAGGCGCUCGUGAGUCGUGAUCUCCUUCUUUAACCUCUUCUCCUUCCUUCAGUCAUGUACUCAAGCAUUGAAUUUUGCUUCUGAUUUUCUGAACAAGGUGAAGAUAAAUGGAAAGAUAUUUUAAAAGAAAAGAAGCGUCUUUUAGUAAUACCGAUGAAGAAUCUUCAAGGAGAAAUAACCCUAAUAUAGAACGACCUCGCUUUACUUUCUUUACGCCUGUUACAGUAGAUGAUAUGAAUAAUCUUCCUUGGGAUCCCUCCGAGAGACCAAGAAUUUUGAAAUAUAAUCCUAACCAAAGAGACGAGAUAAGGAGACGAUAUUGGAUUCGAGGGCCAUGUCAACCCCGUAGCCAUACUUUUCCACAUACAAUGAUAGGGAAUAGGGCAAGGCGUUUUGUCCUGACUUGGUUUGAUAAAUAUAGCAAUUGGUUGGAGUAUAGUGUAAACGCAGAUAAAACAUUUUGCUUGUGUUUUUACUUAUUUAAAGAUGUCCAUAGGCCAUCCUGGAGGAAAUGAAGCAUUUGUGACUCAAGGAUUUAAUAGGUAGUAAAACUGAGUGAGUUAUAUCCGAAUGAUUUUAAUAGUGUGGAAAGAAGCCAUCUUGAAGAUCAGCUUCACUUGUACUAUGCCAAUGUCUCAAAAGAUGAAAGAUUUGCCAACUUGAACGGUAUUGCUGACCUUGCUAAAGAGAUGGUGAAAACUAGAAAACAUCUUUCCUGCCAUUUGGUCUACCGAUUGUUAAAGCUAGCACUAGUCUUGCCCAUUGCAACAACAACAGUUGAGAGAUGCUUUUCUGCCAUGAAACUUGUGAAAUCAGAUUUGCGCAACCGAACUGGUGACGAGUUUUUGAACUCGUGUAAUUUGUGCCGUAGAAAAAGAAGUACUUGAUAGUGUUAAAAUUGAAGAUGUAAUGACUCGCUUCCACAAGUUGGGAAAACAUAGAGGCAAAUUGUAGGAAGUUAACUUGGUUCUCAUGGUUUUAUGAAGUUUACUAUGACUGUUUUGAUGUUAGUUUUGGCUGUUUUAGUGCUAAUUUUUACGGUUCUGUCUGCUAUUUCUUUUCUGUAUUAUUUCUGCUUUUUAUGUUGUUUUUUAACAGGAUUUAUGCUGCUGAAUUGCUUGCCUUUGCUGCUGUCAUUUGCUGAAUUUCGGGGUUGCUUUGAGGUUAUUUCGUUACAGUUUGACAGCUUUUUGCUGCUGUUUAAUAGCCGUUAUGAAGCUCAUCCGCCAUCAAGCUCGCUAUAGCUUUGGAUUUUAAUGGGAAACAUGAGCAACUGAGACCUACUGCGGACAAAUUUGUGGGCACUGACGAGUCAUUAAUUUCUUUGGCUGUCAGUAUACCUGAGCUUUUACCCUCUAAGAAUGCAGGAAAUGAAGCCUUUCAGAGUGGUAAGCAUACGAAAGCAGCAGAGCAUUAUACUACUGCAAUAUCAAAGAGUAUGAAAUCAUAUGCAUUUGCUACUGUUGUACACCAAUGUUUGGGGCUGCUAUUCGAAAUUGCAGCAUAGCAAUAGCUCUUGAUGGAAGUUACCCAAUGGCACUCUACUUUAUGGGAAAUGAUUCCAGCCUACAAACAUCAAACUGAUCUCCAAGUUGAACUAAAGUUAGGGUCAAUCGGGCUAAUUGGGCUAAUUGGACUGCUUAGUUCAAAGAAAACUUCAAGUUACCUGCUAUUCUCACCUCCAUAGGCCAUCCUGGUCAACUAAACAUCAAUCUAGUCUAGUUGAUACCGCAGGUGUUGAUAUACUUAUCCCACAGGAGGCUGAACUUUCAUCUAGUGACAAUCUGCAGAAUGUUAUCAAAGAUAAAGAUGCCAAUGAAGGCCUAUUUGUAGAUAAUGUCAGUGGUUGUGGGAACGAGUUUAGCAUGCAGAGUUGAGUUACAUCACUAGAAAUUGAGCCUUGGAGCCUUGGAUGUGUAUUCAAAUGCUAUGGGUUGGAGUUUCAGUUGGCCUGAUUCUACAUUACUACCAGUAUCAUUCUCUUUGGCGGGUUUGUGUGCUUUAUCUCAUUUUUCCGUGGCUGAACCUAUAACUAAAUUUGGGUGGAUAAUCACAUGUGCUGUAGAAGUAUCAUUCAUUUGUGGGAGAACACCAUUUGGUUCUGAUGAUAUGAUGGAUAAGGAAGAACCAAUGAACUCAUUCAAGGUCUCAACAAUGUCCAUACCAGCAAUAAGAAGCAUAGUGGGAGUUAUUUCCAAGACUUCUAAUGCAGAUUUGUCCCUGGCAAG